UACGUAGGGUGCAAGCGUUAUCCGGAAUUAUUGGGCGUAAAGAGCUCGUAGGCGGUUUGUCGCGUCUGUCGUGAAAGUCCGGGGCUCAACUCCGGAUCUGCGGUGGGUACGGGCAGACUAGAGUGAUGUAGGGGAGACUGGAAUUCCUGGUGUAGCGGUGAAAUGCGCAGAUAUCAGGAGGAACACCGAUGGCGAAGGCAGGUCUCUGGGCAUUAACUGACGCUGAGGAGCGAAAGCAUGGGGAGCGAACAGG
rnacentral:rRNA from 1 species